AGGUACAGCGGUGACGCAGGGGACUCUUUAGCCUAUAUUUCUGGCUACAGUUUUACCACUCAUGAUGCUGAUAACGACUCAUGGCCAGGGAACUGUGCCGUACACCAGGGUGGUCCGUGGUGGUACCGUUCUUGUAGUUACGCCCACCUGAACGGCUUCCAGCACGAGGGGAAACACGAGGUUAGUUUCAAAGGCAUCAACUGGCAUGCAUGGCGAGGGGAGUACUACUCCCUGCGGCAGACCGCCAUGAUGACCCGACCAGCCUUCUGAACAGUCAUCAUGAUUCUGGGUUCAACGGUUGACUGGGACACCUAUUUGUUGGACAGUCUUCCAGCGCGAUAGUUUACGAUCUUACACACACCAGCAACAUCCUCUUUUUCAGCACGCGACUCAAGACGAGUCAUGCACCUUCAGCAUGCAGGGCUGCCUGGCGCCUUCGAUAUUUACAGCCUCAGGCAGGGCCGGCCCGGGGCUGCUGGCGCCCGGGCAAGCUGAACUUCGCCCCCUUUACAAGUAUAAAACUGUAUAUGUAGAAAGCAAAGUUUAUUGCGAUGUACAAGCCGAAUAAAAAUCAUGAACAAGAACAACAG